GUCGCAAAGAGUCGGACACGACUGAGCGACUUCACUUUCACUUUUCACUUUCAUGCAUUGGAGAAGGAAAUGGCAGCCCACAGUGUUCUUGCCUGGAGAAUCCCAGGGAUAGGGGAGCCUGGUGGGCUGCCGUCUAUGGGAUCGCACAGAGUCGGACAUGACUGAAGUGACUUAACAGCAGCAGCAGUGGUCAGUUGCUCAGAAGAUGUAUACUAUCCUUCUCAUUCCCUGAAGCUGACACAUUUUCAGAGAGAUGAUAAACUAUUGUACAUGACAGUAAGAAUUUUCAAGCUGAACUGGCCCUAAUCAUUUUAACCAAGCUCCCUCACUUACGUCUGAGAAAACUGAACAUAGAUUAAACUUGCCUAAGGCUACAAAAGCUGGGCCUAGAACACCAUUCCACCCCACCCCUACCAGCUCCUGGCUGGGUGUUUCUGCACUGUACUGUUCUAAUGUCUAGUUAAUACCUGCUUGUUCCUACUUGGCAUUUUAGAUCCAGAUGGGACAAAGUCAAGGCAGAAAUAAAAGCAUUGAGGGCACUUCAUGGUCUGGGUUGGUGGGUGAAGGACUGAAAUGAGACAAGAAUAGCACUCUGCGCUCGCUACUCCCCAAACCCCAACAGAAAAGGAACUCAAAACUGCACCCCCAACAUGGGGAGGAGGAAGCUUUGGACAUCCUUUUCAUGUGACCGGCUAGCAUGGCUUUGAAACCAUGCCCCACAGCUUUAACAGAAACUGGUGACUAUCAGAAAUUCUUGAGCUUAUCUUACAGCUUAUCUUGAGCAGAUGGGGAGACAGACUCUCAGAUAGCUCUGAGGAGCUGCUCCAGACAGGAUGGGAGUGAGAAGAUCAGCAGAUAGGUGAUUUUGGAGAAGGGUUACAUGCCGUCAAGCACACAUCUUGGUGGAAGUUUGCUGUUAGUUACCAGACACAGGUAUCUCAGUAACUAAUUUUAGUGUUUUCCUAAGUGUGGGAAGAUACAAGAAUCUGGAUUCAUGAAAUUUUCUCCUGAAACUGUCUCACUAUCUGAGGGCCUGUUCUGCUUGUUUUCUCAGGGCGCAGAAUACCUCAUUCCUGAUCUUUGCCCUGAAUUCCUUUCCAGGUGUAUUGUAGGUAGAACUGGAUGGUGGGCAACAUGUGUUGUUUUAUGCUUUCUAGUCUCCCUUCUUCCCUUCUUUUUUUUAAAACGUAUUUUGUAUUGGGGUAUAGCUGAUUAACAGUGUUGUGACAG
ensembl:lncRNA